rnacentral:snRNA from 1 species
GGAUGUGAAGGUGAUAUUGCUGUGACAUUUGAUACCCCAUUGAAUACCAGGGUGGACUGGCUGAUCUGUCUGGCUAGGCAGUUGUCCUCUUCCUCCCUCACCGCUCCAUGUGCUUCCCUCCCAAAGCUGCACACUCUGUCAAAGUGGAUGUCCUUCCCUGAUAAAGGCAGACCAUUCUUUGGUCAAGGGUAUAUGAGUAGCUGAGCUCUCCUGCUAGAACAAGGUCCUAAAAUAAAACUUCCUCUUCACAAAAUAAAAGAGGACGAAGUAGAAAAAAAGAGGAU